GUUGUAUGGUUAAGUGACUAAGCGUACACGGUGGAUGCCUUGGCAGUUGGAGGCGAUGAAGGACGUAUUAACUUGCGAUAAGCCUAGUCAAGCUAGUAAAAAGCACUUGAGACUAGGAUUUCCGAAUGGGGAAACCCACCUGCUUGCAGGUAUCGUUAACUGAAUACAUAGGUUAACGAGGCGAACGCGGAGAACUGAAACAUCUAAGUACCCGUAGGAAAAGAAAUCAACCGAGAUUCCGGAAGUAGCGGCGAGCGAAACCGGAACAGCCCUUAAGCUUAUUAUGUGUUAAUGGAAGGCCGCUGGAAAGCGCCACGAUACAGGGUGAUAGUCCCGUACAUGAAAAGACAUUUUAAGUGAAAUCGAGUAGGUCGGAGCACGUGAAACUUUGACUGAAUAUAGGUGGACCAUCAUCUAAGGCUAAAUACUCCCAACUGACCGAUAGUGAACCAGUACCGUGAGGGAAAGGCGAAAAGAACCCCUGUGAGGGGAGUGAAAUAGAACCUGAAACCGUGUACGUACAAGCAGUAGGAGCCCACUUGUUGGGUGACUGCGUACCUUUUGUAUAAUGGGUCAGCGACUUAUAUUUUGUAGCGAGGUUAACCGAAUAGGGUAGCCGUAGGGAAACCGAGUCUUAACUGGGCGAAUAGUUGCAAGGUAUAGACCCGAAACCCGGUGAUCUAGCCAUGGGCAGGUUGAAGGUUGAGUAACAUCAACUGGAGGACCGAACCCACUAACGUUGAAAAGUUAGGGGAUGACCUGUGGCUAGGAGUGAAAGGCUAAUCAAACCGGGAGAUAGCUGGUUCUCCCCGAAAUCUAUUUAGGUAGAGCCUCGGACGAAUACUUACGGGGGUAGAGCACUGUUAAGGCUAGGGGGUCAUCCCGACUUACCAACC
rnacentral:rRNA from 1 species